rnacentral:rRNA from 1 species
ACGAACGCUGGCGGCGUGCCUCAUACAUGCAAGUAGAACGCACAGUUUAUACCGUAGCUUGCUACACCAUAAACUGUGAGUUGCGAACGGGUGAGUAACGCGUAGGUAACCUGCCUGGUAGCGGGGGAUAACUAUUGGAAACGAUAGCUAAUACCGCAUAAUAUUGAUUAUUGCAUGAUAAUUGAUUGAAAGAUGCUAUUGCAUCACUACCAGAUGGACCUGCGUUGUAUUAGCUAGUAGGUGAGGUAACGGCUCACCUAGGCGACGAUACAUAGCCGACCUGAGAGGGUGAUCGGCCACACUGGGACUGAGACACGGCCCAGACUCCUACGGGAGGCAGCAGUAGGGAAUCUUCGGCAAUGGACGAAAGUCUGACCGAGCAACGCCGCGUGAGUGAAGAAGGUUUUCGGAUCGUAAAGCUCUGUUGUAAGAGAAGAACGGGUGUGAGAGUGGAAAGUUCACACUGUGACGGUAUCUUACCAGAAAGGGACGGCUAACUACGUG